rnacentral:misc_RNA from 1 species
ACGAGGGAGUGUGUGGGGUGCAGAUGCCGCACAGGCACUUUGGCGAGGAGCAGCACAACAAACUCGGCUACACGCGCUCCGUCUCUCUUCCGUCGUUCCACACCACAUCCUUUUGCGCGGGUGCGAACCUGAAUAGGUCUCAGUGCUGGAAGCGCAAGCGUCUGUGUGCGGCACAGAGAGAGAGGAAGGAGUCGUGCGGCUCCUUUUUCUAAGCAAAACAACAAGCGAUCCACUUCCACUGUGCUGGAGGACUGAACGAACUCCACCUCGCGCACGAACGGCUAUUGCCAACAUGCUGCUGUCGACGACACUGAUGUGCUUUAGGCCCAGGGGGACGCGUGGCGCCGGAUUUUGUUCGCUGCGCCGUCGACUGCGGCGUCUUCGUCAGACAAACCGCGCAGCUAUGGAGCAGUUGCAGGAGCGCCGGCGUCUCCAGCAUCUUCUGCGAGAGGAGCAGCGCAGCGCCAGCGCUACGAGUAGCAGCAGCGGCGGUGCGUCAGCACCGGGAGUGGCAGCUGCGCAGCUGCGUGCUCUUGAGCUACUGCCCCGCAACGACGCUCUCGAGGCUGCUAUUGCGCUGUGCAUCAGCGAGAAUCGAGAUGCCCGGACAGAUCUGGAGUUGGUCCGGCAUCUGGUGAACAGCACCUUGCUUUCCUUUGCGUCCCCGGUCUGCAGGCGGUGGGACCCGUACGACGUGAAGCCGCAGGUAUUUGCUCUGGACAACUACAUAGCGCUGCCCGUCUUCACAUCGCUCGAAUACUUGCGGCUGUUCUGCCAGCGAUUCGGGUUUGCGGUACGCGACCCAAGUGGGGUGCUGUGGGCAUCCGGCUCAAGCACCACAGCCUCUGCUGGUGGUCAAGCGCCUAUCAUGGGUCUGCUGCCCGACACGCUGCUCCAGAGUGAGUGGUGGCAGCAGCGGCACGCGCAGCAGGAGGCGCGGCCCCCUACCGAGGUGACCAUGCAGGAAAGGGACGAUGCCCCCGACGGUUUGGCAUCCCAGGGGGGUCAGCCAGCUCAAGAAAGGGAAGCCAAGGCUGUGCCGGAAGACGGCACAGAAGCACACAUGCCUGGCAGCGCAUGUGUGGCACUGAAGGCGGCAGAGCUCACCGUCCCUAAUUUUGCUCCUGGCAGCGACGCAGCACAAGCAGCGCCUCCCACACCGCUUGAUGGCACACCCAUCAACGCAGAUGCGCUGUUCGACACGAUGUUGAUGGACGGCCUUGUGGAGAAGGAGCUUGACACAUCGAGUGCGCCUAGUGAGAGGCGUCGAGUUGCACCAGCGAAGAAGGCGGUACGCACUCGUGCACGUAAGCGCUCACAUGGUUCCGCAAGUAAGGUGCGGGGCAUUAGACGCAGGGUAGCGUCAUCCAGUCACCAUCGCGUCCUCCGCGAACGGCAUACCGGGCGGCGUCAGAGGACAGCUGGAGCAGCGACGGCAGCCGCGUCGCGUGAGGAGAGCGUAGCGGGCGCGGCGUCCGCGAAGGCGGCGGCGGACGAGGCGAAGGCGGCCUACUGGGAAUCCGUCUCCCAGACCUCACCUUUCCAACUAAAGCAAGCAACUCCUCUCCCCACGUUCGGGCCUUUCCUGCACCCGUUCCUGAUUGGCUACUUUGCAGAUGUCUCCACACUGCUGCACAACGCCUCCAUCGUGCCGGAGAAAGUGGACAUCGUGCUGAAUCCAGCUUCUCCCUUGGAGUUUGUGCUGUCGAGGGCGGCGACGGACCGCGUGCUGCACAAAGAGCAGCUUCUCCAUCAGGCUUACCUUAAGGUCGAGAAGGAGCUGCAGCGCGAGUUCAGCGCUUUCUUCGCCGCCUGCUGCCCAGAAGUCAUCUCCGCCUCCAGCGCGUGUGUGCCAUUACCCAUGAACGCGGACGAAGUGGACGCGGCAUGGCAGGCCUCUCAGCGCCCCGUUAACAUCGGCCGCCGAAGUUGCAAAUCGGCUGCCUCGUCGCCGAACGAGCUGCAGGCCUACCGGGAACGGACGCGGCUGCUUCGCGAGGCGGAGUACCGCAACGGUGUCACCUACGAGCUUGUUCUUCUCAUUCAGAGCACGUCGCUCGAGGAGACCUUCACCAAGAUCCAGCAGGCAAAGCAUCAGUCGGCGCUGAUGGGCCACGCGAAUCUGGAUGUGCUGCCCGAGAUUGCCGCCGCUCCACAUGUGCGCGAGAUGGCGCACCACUUUUACGACGGCGCCAGCGAGCAGGAGAAGAGGUUGAUGCAGCGGGCGAUCGCCGCACAGCAUGAGCGGAGCUUGGGCGGCAAGAGUCUUGGCGAUGGCGCUGCCGAGAGUGACAGCGUGGCAGCCGCACUGGUUUCCGGGCACAUGGGUGUGUUUGUGCGGCGAGGGGAACCUCGCACCAUUAAUGUGGCUCAGUCGGCUGACUCAUACUUCCACGUCCCCACCAACGCCUACACGGAGGCGCACGCGGUCUUUACGGAGGACCUCAAGGUGAAUCGCGGACAGUGACCGGGAAGGAGAGCGAGAGAGGGGCCAUGCCGCCAGGAGAGGAGUUCCACUCCAACACUCCUGCGCGGCCACCUCUCCGACGGCCUUGAUGGUCCUGGCGGGCGUCACUGUUUUCUUCGCUUGCUUGCUUGCCUCGUGUCUUCUCGUUGUUCGCAGCAAUCGGUGGGGCCUCAGUAAAACCACGCUGCCCUCAUUCACGUGGAUCGGCACACAUGGACGCACGUACACACAGCACUUGACCGUGAGCUGUCACGUCCGGGAGAGAUGCCCGCUGAUGGUGACGCUGACAACACGAGGUCUCGGUACGGUCUGCAAAGCAAGGAGGGAGGGAGGGAGGGGAGGGCGCACGAGACCAUGUGCUGUCGUCAGGCUGAACUUCUUUGGUGGCAUGUCUCGGAGAUGCUCAAAUCUACUUAUUUUCUUUUUCUUUCGCGCAUGUUCGGCGUAUCUACGCGAUGCGCACUUGCGCUUCACCCCUCCACCAUCUCUGCGCUCAAGGCCCUCUUCGUGAGAGCAUGCAUGCGACCUUGCACGCCCUCGUACUUUUCUGUACCCACGUUGCCUCCUCUCUGCGCAGCGGACAGGCAACGCUUCAUCCUUCUCUCCCAUUGCAUUUUUCUCAUCCUUCACAUUUCCCCUCUGCAG